rnacentral:rRNA from 1 species
UACGAGAGGCCCAAACGUUAUUCGGAUUUACUGGGCUUAAAGAGUUCGUAGGCGGCGCAGAAAGUAGGGUGUGAAAGCCCUCGGCUCAACCGAGGAAUUGCGCCCUAAACUGCUGUGCUUGAGGAACCUAGAGGUGAGCAGAACUGAUGGUGGAGCGGUGAAAUGCGCAGAUAUCAGGAAGAACACCGGUGGCGAAGGCGGCAUCCUGGACCGGUAUUGACGCUGAGGCGCGAAAGCUAGGGGAGCAAACGGG